AGUGAACGCUGGCGGUAGGCCUAACACAUGCAAGUCGAACGGCAGCACAGUAAGAGCUUGCUCUUACGGGUGGCGAGUGGCGGACGGGUGAGGAAUACAUCGGAAUCUACUUUUUCGUGGGGGAUAACGUAGGGAAACUUACGCUAAUACCGCAUACGACCUACGGGUGAAAGCAUGGGAUCUUCGGACCUUGCGCGAUUGAAUGAGCCGAUGUCGGAUUAGCUAGUUGGCGGGGUAAAGGCCCACCAAGGCGACGAUCCGUAGCUGGUCUGAGAGGAUGGUCGGCCACACUGGAACUGAGACACGGUCCAGACUCCUACGGGAGGCAGCAGUGGGGAAUAUUGGACAAUGGGCGCAAGCCUGAUCCAGCCAUACCGCGUGGGUGAAGAAGGCCUUCGGGUUGUAAAGCCCUUUUGUUGGGAAAGAAAAGCAGCAGGUUAAUACCCCGCUGUUCUGACGGUACCCAAAGAAUAAGCACCGGCUAACUUCGUG
rnacentral:rRNA from 1 species